CCAGGUAAAUGAUGUGUGUGUGUUUGCAUAUUGAUCAGAUGCUUCAGUGCUCUGAGAGUGUUUAUAGUGCUGUGAGUUUAACACUUCAUCACUGACACACACAACAAUCUUCAUCAACAUGACCUUCAUCAUCAUCUUCAUCUGGACUCUCACAGCGUUUGCUCAAGAGUGUAGAGGACAGAUCAGCGUCACUCAGAGUCCCUCAACGACAGCAGCUCAACCAGGAGAAACAGUGAAGAUCAGCUGUAGAACCAGCAGAGAUGUGUUUAAUAAUGAUCGUUUAGCCUGGUACUUACAGAAACCUGGAGAAGCUCCUAAACUCCUGAUUUAUUAUACAAGCAGCCGUCAGUCAGGAACUCCAUCUAGAUUCAGUGGCAAGAGUUCAUCUGCGACUGAUUUCACUCUGACCAUAAGUGGAGUCCAGACUGAAGAUGCUGGACAUUAUUACUGUCAGAGUUAUCACAGUGGUCCAGUGUUCACACAGUGAUUGUGAGUGAUACAAAAACCUGUGUCAGUCAGAGUCACAGUGACUGAACUGAUGCUGCAGCUGAUCAAACACUAUCACUCACUACUGACACACAGAGACCAAACACAGAACUACACAUGAGCUCACAACUGAGUUAGGACUCAC